UACGUAGGGUGCAAGCGUUAAUCGGAAUUACUGGGCGUAAAGCGUGCGCAGGCGGUUCGCUAAGACAGAUGUGAAAUCCCCGGGCUUAACCUGGGAACUGCAUUUGUGACUGGCGGGCUAGAGUAUGGCAGAGGGGGGUAGAAUUCCACGUGUAGCAGUGAAAUGCGUAGAGAUGUGGAGGAAUACCGAUGGCGAAGGCAGCCCCCUGGGCCAAUACUGACGCUCAUGCACGAAAGGCGUGGGGAGCAAACAGGAUUAC
rnacentral:rRNA from 1 species